rnacentral:miRNA from 3 species
CCUGUGAAAUUCAGUUCUUCAG